rnacentral:rRNA from 1 species
UCGAGGAUCUUUUGCAAUGGGCGCAAGCCUGACAAAGCGACGCUGCGUGGAGGAUGAAGGCCUUCGGGUCGUAAACUCCUGUCAUUCGGGAACAAUACCGAGAGGAUUAAUACCCCUUUUGAUUGAUGGUACCGAAGGAGGAAGCCACGGCUAACUCUGUGCCAGCAGCCGCGGUAAUACAGAGGUGGCGAGCGUUGUUCGGAUUUACUGGGCGUAAAGGGUGCGUAGGUGGUUCUGUGUGUCGGAUGUAAAAGCCUGGAGCUUAACUCCAGAACGUCAUUCGAAACUGCAGAGCUAGAGUGCAGGAGAGGAGAGCGGAAUUCUUGGUGUAGCGGUGAAAUGCGUUGAUAUCAAGAAGAACACCGGAUGCGAAGGCGGCUCUCUAGUAUGUUACUGACACUGAGGCACGAAAGCCGGGGGAGCAAACAGG